rnacentral:rRNA from 1 species
UACAGAGGUCUCAAGCGUUGUUCGGAUUCACUGGGCGUAAAGGGCGCGUAGGCUGCGGGGCAAGUCGGGUGUGAAAUCUCAGAGCUCAACUCUGAAACUGCACUCGAUACUGCUUUGCUCGAGGACUGGAGAGGAGAUUGGAAUUCACGGUGUAGCAGUGAAAUGCGUAGAUAUCGUAAGGAAGACCAGUGGCGAAGGCGGGUCUCUGGACAGUUCCUGACACUGAGGCACGAAGGCCAGGGGAGCAAACGGG